rnacentral:lncRNA from 1 species
AAGAACACGAGAAAAAAAAAAGGAGAGAAAAAAAGGUAUAAGGAUAUUUUGGUCAAUUUGUUGAAAAUCCGGACCGAAUCUGCAAAUCGAAAAAGACAGUCUAGUUUUGCAAAAGCUCAAAACUUGUGGAUUUUUCAUGCAAAUUGGCCAUAUUUUUUACUAUGAAAGACAUGAUGAGAGUUGAGCUGCAAUGCUAUCAAUAGCAAUACGCUGCCACCCAUUUAUUUUUGAUGAUAAAACCUCCAAAUCGACGAUUAAUAUUAUUGAAUAUAAUCUAUACCACUUGAAAUAUCUAAAAAUUAAAUUUCAAAUAUUUUCGAUGGUGUGAGUUUGUAUAGGAUCAAUUGGU